GUGCUCACUUUGGCAGCACAUAUAUUAAAAUAAGAAUAAUGGAGAGAAGGUUAGCAUGGCCCCUAUACAAGGAUGACACAAAUUCAGGAAGUGCUCCAUAUUUUA